rnacentral:rRNA from 1 species
UACGUAGGGGGCAAGCGUUGUCCGGAAUCAUUGGGCGUAAAGAGCGUGUAGGCGGCCAGGUAGGUCUGCUGUGAAAACUCGAGGCUCAACCUCGAGACGCCGGCGGAAACCAUCUGGCUAGAGUCCGGAAGAGGAGAGUGGAAUUCCUGGUGUAGCGGUGAAAUGCGCAGAUAUCAGGAAGAACACCCGUGGCGAAGGCGGCUCUCUGGGACGGUACUGACGCUGAGACGCGAAAGCGUGGGGAGCGAACAGG